AUUGAACGCUGGCGGUAGGCCUAACACAUGCAAGUCGAACGAGUGGCGGACGGGUGAGGAAUACAUCGGACUCUACUCUGUCGUGGGGGAUAUCGUAGGGAAACUUACGCUAAUACCGCAUACGCUUGAGUGAGCCGAUGUCGGAGUAGCUAGUUGGCGGGGUAAAGGCCCACAAAGGCGACGCUCCGUAGCUGGUCUGAGAGGAUGAGCAGCCACACUGGAACGGAGACACGGUCCAGACUCCUACGGGAGGCAGCAGUGGGGAAUAUUGGACAAUGGGCGAAAGCCUGAUCCAGCCAUGCCGCGUGUGUGAAGAAGGUCUUCGGAUUGUAAAGCACUUUAAGUUGGGAGGCGUUACCAACAGAAUAAGCACCGGCUAACUUCGUGCCAGCAGCCGCGGUAAUAC
rnacentral:rRNA from 1 species